GCGGUAGUAGUUUAAUGGCAAAAUAGGCGGCUGUGGCCCGCCAGUAGCGAGUUCGAUUCUCGCCUACCGCC
rnacentral:tRNA from 1 species